AGAGUUUGAUCCUGGCUCAGGACGAACGCUGGCGGCGUGCUUAACACAUGCAAGUCGAACGAUGAAGCCGCUUCGGUGGUGGAUUAGUGGCGAACGGGUGAGUAACACGUGGGCAAUCUGCCCUGCACUCUGGGACAAGCCCUGGAAACGGGGUCUAAUACCGGAUAUGAUCACCGGCCGCAUGGUCUGGUGGUGGAAAGCUCCGGCGGUGCAGGAUGAGCCCGCGGCCUAUCAGCUUGUUGGUGGGGUGAUGGCCUACCAAGGCGACGACGGGUAGCCGGCCUGAGAGGGCGACCGGCCACACUGGGACUGAGACACGGCCCAGACUCCUACGGGAGGCAGCAGUGGGGAAUAUUGCACAAUGGGCGAAAGCCUGAUGCAGCGACGCCGCGUGAGGGAUGACGGCCUUCGGGUUGUAAACCUCUUUCAGCAGGGAAGAAGCCUUUAAAAGUGACGGUACCUGCAGAAGAAGCACCGGCUAACUACGUGCCAGCAGCCGCGGUAAUACGUAGGGUGCGAGCGUUGUCCGGAAUUAUUGGGCGUAAAGAGCUCGUAGGCGGCGUGUCACGUCGGAUGUGAAAGCCCGGGGCUCAACCCCGGGUCUGCAUUCGAUACGGGCAAACUGGAGUACUGCAGGGGAGACUGGAAUUCCUGGUGUAGCGGUGAAAUGCGCAGAUAUCAGGAGGAGCACCGGUGGCGAAGGCGGGUCUCUGGGCAGUAACUGACGCUGAGGAGCGAAAGCGUGGGGAGCGAACAGGAUUAGAUACCCUAGUAGUCC
rnacentral:rRNA from 1 species